AAUUAUACCGGUGGAAACUGCGAAUGGCUCAUUAAAUCAGUUAUCGUUUAUUUGAUAGUACCUUACUACUUGGAUAACCGUGGUAAUUCUAGAGCUAAUACAUGCUAAAAACCCCAACUUCGGGAGGGGUGUAUUUAUUAGAUAAAAAACCAACGCCCUUCGGGGCUUCUUGGUGAUUCAUGAUAACUUUACGGAUCGCAUGGCCUUGCGCCGGCGACGGUUCAUUCAAAUUUCUGCCCUAUCAACUUUCGAUGGUAAGGUAUUGGCUUACCAUGGUUUCAACGGGUAACGGGGAAUUAGGGUUCGAUUCCGGAGAGGGAGCCUGAGAAACGGCUACCACAUCCAAGGAAGGCAGCAGGCGCGCAAAUUACCCAAUCCCGACACGGGGAGGUAGUGACAAUAAAUACUGAUACAGGGCUCUUUUGGGUCUUGUAAUUGGAAUGAGUACAAUUUAAACCUCUUAACGAGGAACAAUUGGAGGGCAAGUCUGGUGCCAGCAGCCGCGGUAAUUCCAGCUCCAAUAGCGUAUAUUAAAGUUGUUGCAGUUAAAAAGCUCGUAGUUGAAACUUGGGUCUGGCUGGCAGGUCCGCCUCACCGCGUGUACUUGUCCGGCCGGGCCUUCCUUCUGGAGAACCUCAUGCCCUUCACUGGGCGUGUUGGGGACCAGGACUUUUACUUUGAAAAAAUUAGAGUGUUCAAAGCAGGCCUUUGCUCGAAUACGUUAGCAUGGAAUAAUAGAAUAGGACGUGCGGUCCUAUUUUGUUGGUUUCUAGGACCGCCGUAAUGAUUAAUAGGGACAGUCGGGGGCAUCAGUAUUCAAUUGUCAGAGGUGAAAUUCUUGGAUUUAUUGAAGACUAACUACUGCGAAAGCAUUUGCCAAGGAUGUUUUCAUUAAUCAGUGAACGAAAGUUAGGGGAUCGAAGACGAUCAGAUACCGUCGUAGUCUUAACCGUAAACUAUGCCGACUAGGGAUCGGGCGAUGUUCUUUUUCUGACUCGCUCGGCACCUUACGAGAAAUCAAAGUUUUU
rnacentral:rRNA from 1 species